AACGCGAAGAACCUUACCAAGGCUUGACAUCCCCUGCAUAGGAUGGAAACAUUUGAAAUCGUAGCAAUACGACAGGGAGACAGGUGGUGCAUGGUUGUCGUCAGCUCGUGUCGUGAGAUGUUGGGUUAAGUCCCGCAACGAGCGCAACCCUUGUGGAUAGUUGCCAUCAUUAAGUUGGGCACUCUAUUCAGACUGCCGUGGACAACACGGAGGAAGGUGGGGAUGACGUCAGAUCAUCACGCCCCUUAUGUCUUGGGCUACACACGUGCUACAAUGGUCGUUACAGAGAGAAGCGAACCGGCAACGGGGAGCAAAUCUCAAAAAACGCGAUCCCAGUUCAGAUUGCUGGGCUGCAACUCGCCCACAUGAAGUUCGGAGCUGCUAGUAAUCGCGAAUCA
rnacentral:rRNA from 1 species